CCCCGGUAAACGGCGGCCGUAACUAUAACGGUCCUAAGGUAGCGAAAUUCCUUGUCGGGUAAGUUCCGACCUGCACGAAUGGCGUAAUGAUGGCCAGGCUGUCUCCACCCGAGACUCAGUGAAAUUGAACUCGCUGUGAAGAUGCAGUGUACCCGCGGCAAGACGGAAAGACCCCGUGAACCUUUACUAUAGCUUGACACUGAACAUUGAGCCUUGAUGUGUAGGAUAGGUGGGAGGCUUUGAAGUGUGGACGCCAGUCUGCAUGGAGCCGACCUUGAAAUACCACCCUUUAAUGUUUGAUGUUCUAACGUGGACCCGUAAUCCGGGUUGCGGACAGUGUCUGGUGGGUAGUUUGACUGGGGCGGUCUCCUCCUAAAGAGUAACGGAGGAGCACGAAGGUUGGCUAAUCCUGGUCGGACAUCAGGAGGUUAGUGCAAUGGCA
rnacentral:rRNA from 1 species